rnacentral:rRNA from 1 species
UACGUAGGGGGCAAGCGUUGUCCGGAAUCAUUGGCGUAAGAAGCGCGUAGGCGGUCCGGUAAGUCCGCUGUGAAAGUCGGGGGCUCAACCCUCGAAUGCCGGUGGAUACUGCCGGGCUAGAGUCCGGAAGAGGCGAGUGGAAUUCCUGGUGUAGCGGUGAAAUGCGCAGAUAUCAGGAGGAACACCGAUGGCGAAGGCAGCUCGCUGGGACGGUACUGACGCUGAGGCGCGAAAGCGUGGGGAGCAAACAGG